rnacentral:rRNA from 1 species
CGAGGAUUCCCAUAGUAACGGCGAGUGAAAGGGGAAGAGCCCAGCGCUGAAUCCAUCGAUCACUGGUCGCUUGGAAUUGUAGCGUAUAGGUGCGGCUAUCCGCUCGUUUCGUGCACCCAAAGUCCCCUUGAGCGGGGCCAUAGUCCAAAGAAGGUGCUAGACCUGUACGGGUGGCGAGGCGGUCGGUUGGUCGCUCCUUGGAGUCGGGUUGCCUGGGAUCGCAGCCCAAAGUUGGUGGUAGACCUCAUCUAAGGCUAAAUAUGGCCACGAAACCGAUAGCAAACAAGUACCGUGAGGAAAGUUGCAAAGAACUUUGAAGAGAGAGUUCAAGAGGGCGUGAAACCGCCGAGAUUGAAACGGAUAGAGUUGACGAAACUCGAUCGCAUUCAUCCGAUCCGCCUAGCGGUUCGGCGGUUGUUGACUUCCUCGAUGAGGGCAACGCCGUCGCUGGCUGUUGGGUGUUAGAUUGGUGUAUUUGCGGUCGGUAUGCGCCGAGAGCUUUGCGAGCGCAUGUUGACGUUGAUGUAGUGGACCACUCCCUCCGGGCGUGGAACCCUGCAUUGAUUGAGGCAUGUCGUUCGUAGGGUGUUGCUGGGUGACGUCUCCGCUAUGGUGGGUCGGCUUUGUUGGGCUGUUGCGGUUGCUGGGUGAUCGCAUGCGAGCGCCUGCAGCUUGCGAUGGUACGAUGAGGUGCGGACGCGCUUGAGACGUGCAUCUCGGUGUGAACGUUGACCACCUAUCCGA